AACGAACGCUGGCGGCAUGCCUAACACAUGCAAGUCGAACGAGACCUUCGGGUCUAGUGGCGCACGGGUGCGUAACGCGUGGGAACCUGCCUUUAGGUUCGGAAUAACUCAGAGAAAUUUGAGCUAAUACCGGAUGAUGUCUUCGGACCAAAGAUUUAUCGCCUUUGGAUGGGCCCGCGUUGGAUUAGCUAGUUGGUGGGGUAAAGGCCUACCAAGGCGACGAUCCAUAGCUGGUCUGAGAGGAUGAUCAGCCACACUGGGACUGAGACACGGCCCAGACUCCUACGGGAGGGAGCAGUGGGGAAUAUUGGACAAUGGGCGAAAGCCUGAUCCAGCAAUGCCGCGUGAGUGAUGAAGGCCUUAGGGUUGUAAAGCUCUUUUACCCGAGAUGAUAAUGACAGUAUCGGGAGAAUAAGCUCCGGCUAACUCCGUG
rnacentral:rRNA from 1 species